rnacentral:rRNA from 1 species
GACGAACGCUGGCGGCGUGCUUAACACAUGCAAGUCGAACGGAAAGGCCCUGCUUUUGUGGGGUGCUCGAGUGGCGAACGGGUGAGUAACACGUGAGUAACCUGCCCUUGACUUUGGGAUAACUUCAGGAAACUGGGGCUAAUACCGGAUAGGAGCUCCUGCUGCAUGGUGGGGGUUGGAAAGUUUCGGCGGUUGGGGAUGGACUCGCGGCUUAUCAGCUUGUUGGUGGGGUAGUGGCUUACCAAGGGUUUGACGGGUAGCCGGCCUGAGAGGGUGACCGGCCACAUUGGGACUGAGGUACGGCCCAGACUCCUACGGGAGGCAGCAGUGGGGAAUAUUGCACAAUGGGCGGAAGCCUGAUGCAGCAACGCCGCGUUCGUGAUGACGGCCUUCGGGUUGUAAACCGCUUUCGCCUGUGACGAAGCGUGAGUGACGGUAAUUGGUAAAGAAGCACCGGCUAACUACGUG